rnacentral:misc_RNA from 1 species
AGGAGCAUCUAGGCCGCCGGGCUUGCCCGGUGGUCCAGGGCCAUUACGUCGGCAGACGUCCGACGGUGGUUGCUCAUGGGUGGAACGUUGAUUAUUCGGCACACUUGAUCGUCUUCAUCUUCCUAGUACUGCUUCGGCGUGGAACGGAUGAGUGGAGCGGGGAGUGUGCCGGGCACGUUGUUGGGUGUCUGAGGGAAUGAGCCCUCGGAUGCCGGCCCCAGUGAACUCGUCCGGUUGGGCGGGGUGGUGGGUGGCUGGUCGUUGUUUGAGAACUGCACAGUGGACGCGAGCAUCUGU